rnacentral:rRNA from 1 species
AUCAUGGCUCAGGAUGAACGCUGGCGGCGUGCUUAACACAUGCAAGUCGAACGAAGCACUUUAUUUGAUUUCUUCGGAAUGAAGAUUUUGUGACUGAGUGGCGGACGGGUGAGUAACGCGUGGGUAACCUGCCUCAUACAGGGGGAUAACAGUUGGAAACGACUGCUAAUACCGCAUAAGCGCACAGGGUCGCAUGACUUGGUGUGAAAAACUCCGGUGGUAUGAGAUGGACCCGCGUCUGAUUAGCCAGUUGGUGGGGUAACGGCCUACCAAAGCGACGAUCAGUAGCCGACCUGAGAGGGUGACCGGCCACAUUGGGACUGAGACACGGCCCAAACUCCUACGGGAGGCAGCAGUGGGGAAUAUUGCACAAUGGGGGAAACCCUGAUGCAGCGACGCCGCGUGAGCGAAGAAGUAUUUCGGUAUGUAAAGCUCUAUCAGCAGGGAAGAAGAAAUGACGGUACCUGACUAAGAAGCACCGGCUAAAUACGUGCCAGCAGCCGCGGUAAUACGUAUGGUGCAAGCGUUAUCCGGAUUUACUGGGUGUAAAGGGAGCGCAGGCGGUACGGCAAGUCUGAUGUGAAAGCCCGGGGCUCAACCCCGGUACUGCAUUGGAAACUGUCGGACUAGAGUGUCGGAGGGGUAAGUGGAAUUCCUAGUGUAGCGGUGAAAUGCGUAGAUAUCGGGAGGAACACCAGUGGCGAAGGCGGCCUACUGGGCACCAACUGACGCUGAGGCUCGAAAGUGUGGGUAGCAAACAGGAUUAGAUACCCUGGUAGUCCACACCGUAAACGAUGAUUACUAGGUGUUGGAGGAUUGACCCCUUCAGUGCCGCAGUUAACACAAUAAGUAAUCCACCUGGGGAGUACGACCGCAAGGUUGAAACUCAAAGGAAUUGACGGGGGCCCGCACAAGCAGUGGAGUAUGUGGUUUAAUUCGACGCAACGCGAAGAACCUUACCAAGUCUUGACAUCCGUUGACCGCUGUAGAAAUACAGUUUUCCUUCGGGACAGCGAGACAGGUGGUGCAUGGUUGUCGUCAGCUCGUGUCGUGAGAUGUUGGGUUAAGUCCCGCAACGAGCGCAACCCUUAUGGUCAGUUACUACGCAAGAGGACUCUGGCCAGACUGCCGUUGACAAAACGGAGGAGGGUGGGGAUGACGUCAAAUCAUCAUGCCCUUUAUGACUUGGGCUACACACGUACCACAAUGGCGUUAAACAAAGAGAAGCAAGACCGCGAGGUGGAGCAAAACUCAGAAACAACGUCCCAGUUCGGACUGCAGGCUGCAACUCGCCUGCACGAAGUCGGAAUUGCUAGUAAUCGUGGAUCAGCAUGCCACGGUGAAUACGUUCCCGGGCCUUGUACACACCGCCCGUCACACCAUGAGAGCCGGGGGGACCCGAAGUCGGUAGUCUAACCGCAAGGAGGACGCCGCCGAAGGUAAAACUGGUGAUUGGGGUGAAGUCGUAACAAGGUA